rnacentral:rRNA from 1 species
GGAAACGACUGCUAAUACCGGAUGAUGACGUAAGUCCAAAGAUUUAUCGCCUAGGGAUGAGCCCGCGUAGGAUUAGCUAGUUGGUGUGGUAAAGGCGCACCAAGGCGACGAUCCUUAGCUGGUCUGAGAGGAUGAUCAGCCACACUGGGACUGAGACACGGCCCAGACUCCUACGGGAGGCAGCAGUGGGGAAUAUUGGACAAUGGGCGAAAGCCUGAUCCAGCAAUGCCGCGUGAGUGAUGAAGGCCUUAGGGUUGUAAAGCUCUUUUACCCGGGAUGAUAAUGACAGUACCGGGAGAAUAAGCUCCGGCUAACUCCGUGCCAGCAGCCGCGGUAAUACGGAGGGAGCUAGCGUUAUUCGGAAUUACUGGGCGUAAAGCGCACGUAGGCGGCUUUGUAAGUAAGAGGUGAAAGCCUGGUGCUCAACACCAGAACUGCCUUUUAGACUGCAUCGCUUGAAUCCAGGAGAGGUGAGUGGAAUUCCGAGUGUAGAGGUGAAAUUCGUAGAUAUUCGGAAGAAC